GACGAACGCUGGCGGCGUGCCUAAUACAUGCAAGUCGAACGCAGUGGGGACGGGUGAGUAACACGUGGGUAACCUCCCAUCAGAGGGGAUAACACUUGGAAACAGGUGCUAAACCGAUACUGAUGGAUGGCCCCGCGGUGCAUUAGCUAGUAGGGAGGGAAAUGGCCUACCUAGGCAACGAUACAUAGCCGACCUGAGAGGGUGAUCGGCCACACUGGGACUGAGACACGGCCCAGACGCCUACGGGAGGCAGCAGUAGGGAAUCUUCGGCAAUGGGGGGAACCCUGACCGAGCAACGCCGCGUGAGUGAAGAAGGUUUUCGGAUCGUAAAACUCUGUUGUUAGAGAAGCGGUAUCUAACCAGAAAGCCACGGCUAACUACGUGCCAGCCGCCGCGGUAAUAC
rnacentral:rRNA from 1 species